rnacentral:ncRNA from 2 species
GUGCGCUACCGGGGUCGGUGGAAGUCCGAACCGGCGGUGACGGGGUCAGGCCCCGAAGCCCGCGACCCGCUGGCAGCCAGUCAGCGGUUGACCUGGUGAGAGUCCAGGGCCGACGGUGAAAGUCCGGAUGGUAGGCAGCGCAC